GAUGAACGCUGGCGGCGUGCCUAAUACAUGCAAGUCGAGCGAACAGACGAGGAGCUUGCUCCUCUGACGUUAGCGGCGGACGGGUGAGUAACACGUGGAUAACCUACCUAUAAGACUGGGAUAACUUCGGGAAACCGGAGCUAAUACCGGAUAAUAUAUUGAACCGCAUGGUUCAAUAGUGAAAGACGGUUUUGCUGUCACUUAUAGAUGGAUCCGCGCCGCAUUAGCUAGUUGGUAAGGUAACAGCUUACCAAGGCAACGAUGCGUAGCCGACCUGAGAGGGUGAUCGGCCACACUGGAACUGAGACACGGUCCAGACUCCUACGGGAGGCAGCAGUAGGGAAUCUUCCGCAAUGGGCGAAAGCCUGACGGAGCAACGCCGCGUGAGUGAUGAAGGUCUUCGGAUCGUAAAACUCUGUUAGUAGGGAAGAACAAAUGUGUAAGUAACUAUGCACGUCUUGACGGUACCUAAUCAGAAAGCCACGGCUAACUACGUG
rnacentral:rRNA from 1 species